rnacentral:tRNA from 1 species
GGGGGUGUAGCUCAGAGGUGGAGCACUUUCCCAGCAUGUACAAGAUCCUGGAUUCAAUUCUCAGCACCACCA